AGGCGAUAGGCCAUUUUGGAGUGAAUUUCGUACACGUAUGUCGUCAUAGCAACGAACUAUCUGUUACUAAAAAUAAUAUAAUUUGAAAGUAGAGUUAUCAAAAUAUAUAAAAAACCCAAUAUCUGCUGAAUAAAUCCUAAAAAUACGUAGUUUGAACAUGUCAAAGUGUUAAACACAUGGAUUUUUGAAAACUGUAUCGAGCCACCUUAAGCAUUCAAUAAUUUUGAUAUUCAAUUAGAGUAAUUUUCAGAAUUAACUGUCAAAACAUCAAAGAAUGUCUGUGAAAAUUUCUGCAAGAAUGUAGAUCCCCCCCNNNNNNNNNNNNNNNNNNNNUUAAUCCCCCCCCCCCCCUCCCCACCCAAUUUCUGGGAAAUAGGUUCCGAUAUACUUUUUCCACCUCUAGUAAACGGUAUCAUCUAAAUGUGCGUUGGAAUAAAUUCAAGAAUAUUCAAGUCAUCUUACCGUACUGUAUCCACGUGUCACUGACUCGGGGCGUUUUUCCAUUUGUCCCGUCAUCUGUUUUUGGAUCAGUUCAAUAUCUAUCACUUUGGCAUUGAUUUCUGAUUCAAAAUUUGUGAUCAAUUUUGUCUGUUUAAAAGAAACAUGAAUGCAUGGUUAGCACGAUUUUGCGUGUAAAAAAACACGCCCAAAUAUUUUCAAAGGCUUGCGCCUGUAUUCUAAAAGCUCACUCACACUCAAAGAGUGGAGGUUCAAUCUGAGCUUCCCUUGAGUGUCAAUGCAGUUUUUGAAUAUCAAAGGGUGAGUAGUCACAGAGUAAGGUACGACACUAACCCUCCAGCUAUUCAAAAACAGCACCGACACUCAAGGGAAGCUCAGAUUGAACCUCCACUCAUUCAGUGUGAGUGAGCUGAAGCUUUUAGAAUACAGGCGCAAGCCGUUUUUGAAUAGCUGGAGGGUUAGUGUCGUACCUUACUCUGUGACUAUACUCACCCU
rnacentral:lncRNA from 1 species